UACGUAGGGGGCAAGCGUUGUCCGGAAUCAUUGGGCGUAAAGCGCGUGUAGGCGGCCCGGUAAGUCCGCUGUAAAAGUCCAGGGCUCAACCCUGGAAGGCCGGUGGAUACUGUCGGGCUCGAGUCCGGAAGAGGCAGGCGGAAUUCCGGGUGUAGCGGUGGAAUGCGUAGAGAUCCGGAAGAACACCGGUGGCGAAGGCGGCCUGCUGGGCAGUUGCUGACACUGAGGCGCGACAGCGUGGGAGCAACAGG
rnacentral:rRNA from 1 species